GAUGAAGAACGCAGCGAAAUGCGAUAAGUAAUGUGAAUUGCAGAAUUCAGUGAAUCAUCGAAUCUUUGAACGCACAUUGCGCCCGCCAGUAUUCUGGCGGGCAUGCCUGUCCGAGCGUCAUUUCAACCCUCGAACCCCUCCGGGGGGUCGGCGUUGGGGAUCGGCCCUGCCUUUGGCGGUGGCCGUCUCCGAAAUACAGUGGCGGUCUCGCCGCAGCCUCUCCUGCGCAGUAGUUUGCACACUCGCAUCGGGAGCGCGGCGCGUCCACAGCCGUUAAACCCCCAACUUCUGAAAUGUUGACCUCGGAUCAGGUAGGAAUACCCGCUGAACUUAAGCAUAUCAAUAAGCGGAGGA
rnacentral:misc_RNA from 1 species